rnacentral:rRNA from 1 species
GUUAAGUAGCAAGGUUAAGCACUUAAGGUGCGGAGCCGUAGCGAAAGCGAGUUUUAACUGAGCGUUCAGUUACUUGACGUAGACCCGAAACCGGGCGACCUACCCAUGAGCAGGAUGAAGCGAAAGUAAAAUUUCGUGGAGGUCCGAACCCACGAGCGUUGAAAAGCUCGGGGAUGACUUGUGGGUAGCGGUGAAAUUCCAAUCGAGCCCGGAGAUAGCUGGUUCUCCCCGAAAUAGCUUUAGGGCUAGCCUCAAGGUGAGAGAUACGGAGGUAGAGCACUGAAUGUCCUAGGGGGUAUUGCACCUACCGAAGACUAUCAAACUCCGAAUGCCGUCAUCUUAUACUUGGGAGUCAGACUGUGGGUGAUAAGAUUCAUAGUCGAAAGGGCAACAGCCCAGAUCGUCAGCUAAGGUCCCUAAAUGUAAGUUAAGUGGUAAAGGAUGUGGGAUUGCACAGACAACCAGGAUGUUGGCUUAGAAGCAGCCACUCAUUCAAAGAGUGCGUAAUAGCUCACUGGUCGAGUGAUCCUGCGCCGAAGAUUUCCGGGGCUAAAACUUACUACCGAAGCUACGGCAUCAGUAAUGAUGGGUAGGGGAGCUUCCCAUACGGGUUGAAGCAUGACCGUAAGGACAUGUGGACAGUAUGGGAGUGAGAAUGUUGGCAUGAGUAGCGAGAUGUGGGUGAGAAUCCCACAGGCCGUAAACCCAAGGUUUCCAGGGGAAGGUUCGUCCGCCCUGGGUUAGUCGGGACCUAAGCUGAGGCCGAAAGGCGUAGGUGAUGGACAACAGGUUGAUAUUCCUGUACUACCGAUAACCGUUUGAGAGAUGGGAUGACACAGUAGGAUAAGCUAAGCACACUGUUGGUUAUGUGUGCCCAAGCAUUGAGGCAGUCAAAGUAGGUAAAUCCGCUUUGAUAAUGCUGGGAUGUGAUGGGGAGCGAAAUUUAGUAGCGAAGUAGCUGAUUUCACACUGUCAAGAAAAGUCUCUAUCGAGGUUAAAGGUACCCGUACCGCAAACCGACACAGGUGGGUGAGGAGAGUAUCCUAAGGCCAGCGAGAGAACUGUUGUUAAGGAACUCGGCAAAAUGACCCCGUAACUUAGGGAUAAGGGGUGCCACCAUCAGGUGGCCGCAGAGAAUAGGCCCAAGCGACUGUUUACCAAAAACAUAGGUUUCUGCUAAGUCGCAAGACGAUGUAUAGGAGCUGACGCCUGCCCGGUGCUGGAAGGUUAAGGGGAUCUGUUAGAGCAAUCGAAGCAGUGAACUUAAGCCCCAGUAAACGGCGGCCGUAACUAUAACGGUCCUAAGGUAGCGAAAUUCCUUGUCGGGUAAGUUCCGACCCGCACGAAAGGCGUAACGAUUUGGGCACUGUCUCAACAACAGACUCGGUGAAAUUGUAAUUCCGGUGAAGAUGCCGGAUACCUGCGACAGGACGGAAAGACCCCAUGGAGCUUUACUGUAGCUUGACAUUGGGUCUUGGUACUACAUGUACAGGAUAGGUGGGAGGCUUUGAAACCAGGACGCCAGUUUUGGCGGAGCCAUCCUUGGGAUACCACCCUUGUAGUACUGGGACUCUAACCAUAGGCCAUGAAUCUGGUCUUGGGACACUGUCAGGUGGGCAGUUUGACUGGGGCGGUCGCCUCCCAAAAGGUAACGGAGGCGCUCAAAGGUUCUCUCAGUACGGUCGGAAAUCGUACGUAGAGUGUAAAGGCAAAAGAGAGCUUGAUUGCAAGACAUACAGGUCGAGCAAGGAUGAAAAUCGGACUUAGUGAUCCGGUGGUUCUGCGUGGAAGGGCCAUCGCUCAACGGAUAAAAGCUACCCUGGGGAUAACAGGCUUAUCUCCCCCAAGAGUCCACAUCGACGGGGAGGUUUGGCACCUCGAUGUCGGCUCAUCACAUCCUGGGGCUGUAGUAGGUCCCAAGGGUUGGGCUGUUCGCCCAUUAAAGUGGUACGCGAGCUGGGUUCAGAACGUCGUGAGACAGUUCGGUCCCUAUCCGUCGCAGGCGUAGGAAAUUUGAGAAGACCUGUCCUUAGUACGAGAGGACCGGGAUGGACG